rnacentral:misc_RNA from 1 species
UCGUGGAGCUACGGCUCCUUCGAGGGAGAACCCUUGCCUUUUCGAGCACCUGUUUGUUUCCUCGGCAGGCCCGCCUGCCAAUGAGGGACCUCUUAAACUCUUGCAAUACAACCUGAACACAAACUGUCUGAAUAAAAAAAUCUAAAUCA